rnacentral:rRNA from 1 species
CGGCAGGCCUACACAUGCAAGUCGAGCGGUAGAGAGGUGCUUGCACCUCUUGAGAGCGGCGGACGGGUGAGUAAUGCCUAGGAAUCUGCCUGGUAGUGGGGGAUAACGCUCGGAAACGGACGCUAAUACCGCAUACGUCCUACGGGAGAAAGCAGGGGACCUUCGGGCCUUGCGCUAUCAGAUGAGCCUAGGUCGGAUUAGCUAGUUGGUGAGGUAAUGGCUCACCAAGGCGACGAUCCGUAACUGGUCUGAGAGGAUGAUCAGUCACACUGGAACUGAGACACGGUCCAGACUCCUACGGGAGGCAGCAGUGGGGAAUAUUGGACAAUGGGCGAAAGCCUGAUCCAGCCAUGCCGCGUGUGUGAAGAAGGUCUUCGGAUUGUAAAGCACUUUAAGUUGGGAGGAAGGGCAUUAACCUAAUACGUUAGUGUUUUGACGUUACCGACAGAAUAAGCACCGGCUAACUCUGUGCCAGCAGCCGCGGUAAUACAGAGGGUGCAAGCGUUAAUCGGAAUUACUGGGCGUAAAGCGCGCGUAGGUGGUUCGUUAAGUUGGAUGUGAAAUCCCCGGGCUCAACCUGGGAACUGCAUUCAAAACUGUCGAGCUAGAGUAUGGUAGAGGGUGGUG